rnacentral:lncRNA from 1 species
GUGAGGGGGCAGUUGGUGGCAGGCAGAGUGUGUCACUGACCCAAGGUCACACAGUGAAUGGAUAGCAAGGUCUUGGCCUUUGCUCUUCCCUCACUGCUAGUCUCUUUUCAUGGAGGCUGUGUCUGCUCACAGAUGUCAGAGGUGCUCACUCCUCCAGCUCUGCCCACAGAUGUCAGAGGUGCUCCCUCCACCCCUCCAGCUCUGCUCACAGAUGUCGUAGGUGCUCCCUCUGCUCCUCCAACUCUGCCCACAGAUGUCAUAGGUGCUCCCUCCACCCCUCCAGCUCUGCCCACAGAUGUCAGAGGUGCUCCUCCCACUCCUCUAGCUCUGCUCACAGAUGUCAGAGGUGCUCCCUCCACCCCUCCAGCUCUGCUCACAGAUGUCAUAGGUGCUCCCUUUGCUCCUCCAGCUCUGCUCACAGAUGUCAGAGGUGCUCCCUCCACCCCUCCAGCUCUGCCCACAGAUGUCAGAGUUGCUCCCCCCACUCCUCCAGCUCUGCCCACAGAUGUCAAAAGUGCUCCCUCUGCUCCCAGCCCCCUCUUAGCCUCGGUUUUCCAGGAUCAUUGGAGGGGGGAUGGACAUUGUUUCUGUGGCUUCUCCUGUCUGUGGGCCACAGUUCGUGAUGAAUAUGAAAGAAAAUGGAAACAGCUCCUGCUUGCUUCCCACACAGGCGAGCUGAGCGGCUGCCUCUGACGUGAGAGCCGAGAGCCGGUGGGGAUGGGAAGGUGGCUCUGACUCUCCCUUCUCCUUGGUUCCUGGCUGCCAAGCUGGGGAGAAGAUCUAGAAUCCCAGGCCUGAUCCUCCAGUCAGCCCAGCUCCAGCCUCCCACAUCAGUGGUCAGGCCUACUGACCUACAGGUUACAAUUGCGUCCUUUCUCCAGGUCAGCAAACACACACCGUGGGCCUCAUUUGUUGGCAAGUACUGUAAGAGGCAGGCACUGCAGAGGGCUGCAUCCAGUUCAAAGUGUAUUCCAAAAAGCAUCCCCGCCACCCUUUCUGCGUACCAGAUACUGGACAUGAAGGGCUGAGACUCACUCCCUUUGAUAUUUUCUUGGACAGAGGUAGUUGCUGACUUAUCUGGAGGCUCCAGUCCAGGACCAUCAAAUAGUGUGGCGCAAAGUCACUGUCUCUGGCAACAAAGGUAGCACAUGUGGCUACUGAAGCCUAUCUACAUCUCAGAAAGAGUUGGAAUAUACCAUUUCCCUCCUCCCCUCCCCUCCCCUCCCCACUCCUCCCCACUCCUCUCCUCUCUUCUCUUUCCUUCCCCUCUCCUCUUUCCUUCCCCUCUCCUCUCCUUCCCCUGCCUUCCCUCCACAAGCCUAGGUUGUCCUCAAACUCACCAUCCUCCCCCUGUCCAGACUCCUUACUGCUGGCAUUAUAGUCACGUGACCUGACUUAUGCCCAGUGUAUGACCACAUGGCUAACUUAUGGCUAGUGGAAUGUGGAUGAAAGGACCCUCUUAGCCCAUCCACAGUCUCUUCCUGGCCAAGCAUUCCCUUUUGGUUGGCUUGCGUCAGCCAUCGGAGCUGUCUUGGCCAUGGGAUGAAGGUGACAAACUCGGAGCGGGAUGAAUCUGGGUCUCCAGCCUCUCCCAUGAUGGAAGGAGCAUAUUCUGUCACCCCAGUGUAACAGUCUCAGAAACGGAGAAGCUGGCUUGAGCCAGGACCGUGCAAUUAGGGUGGAGUUUGGAUCUCUUUGAGCUGUAUCUUCUGGCUUUGUGCUCUUGCCCGGAGUCCCUUUUGAGUAUGGAAAGUAUGCGAGAAGGGGGAAGGACUUGGGUCCCCCAUUUCUGAAAGAGGAAACUGUGCUGAGGCCUCCAGGUCCGGUCAGGACUGGGUGACUGUGGACGGUCCGAGCACACUCAGUUGUCCCUGCCAGGUCAGGGUAGCAGCUGUUCUAACCAGGCUGAUGCUCUCGAGAGGCCUUCUAAAGUGAAACCCAGAAAGCUGAUGUGUUGGACCAUGCCAGAGUUCUAGCUAUCUUGGCUCUUACGGCAUUAACCGUCCCCACCAGCGGAGGAUAGCUGCUCUACCACGUGACUGAUUGCCGAGGCUAACUGCCCUACCACGUGACUGAUUACCAAGGCUAACUGCCCUACCACGUGACUGAUUGCCAAGGCUAACUGCCCUAUCACGUGACUGAUUGCUGAGGAUAGCUGCCCUACCAUGUGAUAGUUGCCCUACCACGUGCCUGACGGGCUUUUC